rnacentral:rRNA from 1 species
UACAGAGGUGGCAAGCGUUGUUCGGAAUUACUGGGCGUAAAGGACGCGUAGGCGGCCCUCUAAGUCCCGUGUGAAAGCCCCCGGCUCAACCGGGGAACUGCACGGGAAACUGGAAGGCUUGAGUUCGGGAGAGGGAAGCGGAAUUCCGGGUGUAGCGGUGAAAUGCGUAGAUAUCCGGAGGAACACCGGUGGCGAAGGCGGCUUCCUGGACCGACACUGACGCUGAGGCGCGAAAGCUAGGGGAGCAAACGGG